CAUAGACAUCUAAUGAAGUGGAAGAUUCAGGAUAGACAAAAGAAAGUCAAUCCUUCACACAGCACAUAAUUAAGCUUCAGCAGAUGUAGCAGUGGAUGUGCUGGAUCAGUGCCUGGACUCUGUAAUGGGCUGGAUGACAGCCAACAGACUGAACUCAAUCCAGAUGUGAAUUUCUUCAGUGAACUAGACCCAAAUAGAAGGGAACGUGUUUAUUGCAAAUGGGAACUCUCUGUCUGUUAAGGAAUGCGGAAAUGGAAUUCUGACCUGCAAUACAGAGCUUGGAGGCCAUGAGGCAAUAAGAAGAGAUAUUAUGUUCAUUCCAGAUUUGAAUGGAAAAUUUUAAAGUAUUGCCACUUUAACCAUAAAGGGCUUCAGUGUGAACUUGUGUGACAACUAGUGCACAACCACCAUGAAUGGAGAACUGUAUGCCAGAGCUUCUGAAAACCAGGGUGUGUUUGAACUACUGUCCAAGGGAAUAGGCAAACAUGAUAAAAUGCUGUACAAUGACAGAUUGCCUUGAGCUAUGGCAGAGACAAUUUGGACGACAUGAUAUAAAUGCCAUACUUGAUCUGGAAAGGAAGAAUCUAGUCAAAAGCAUAACAGCAAAGAUGUGCAACAGUGGCAAUGACAAGUGUGUAAACUGCCUAAAGGCGAAAGGCACAAGGCCAUCUAUUCCCAAAGAGAGUAAAAGACACUCAAAGAAACCAAAAGGUGUCCGUUUAAUUCCUCCUCCUUUUAGUUUUGUUUUUAACCUAAUAUUUAAGCAAGCUGAUGUGCAUUCUCUGCUUCCCAAAAAUUAUUUCCAACAUUCUUCCUCUUUUCUUUUUUUCCUCACAAUUUAGAAAUUUUACCCCCUGUCCUCUCUCACCAAAAACCCCAUCAACAUCAAUAAUAAUAAUAAUAAUAAUAAUAAUUGGCCAGUUUUACAUUUGGUACCAAAAAAAGCCAAUGACACAAACGAUAUUAAUAACAAUAAAAAGGAUGCCAGAUGUAUGUGAAUAGCUCAUCAAAAUUUUGAUUUGCUGAAAUACAGAAAUCUGAUUAUCAUCAACUGUGAAUCAUUUUGAACUUGGAGAAUUUGGAAACCUUUUCCCACUGGAGAUCUCUUACUGGAAAUAUGUAUUUGCCCAAAAUGCAGGUAGCUUCAAGUCAAAGGCUGUAGUUUCCUCCAGAGCAGUGAUGGCAGAGGUGUUUCAAGACAAGGCAUAUAU